CCUGCCCUUGGGUCCGGCAUAACCCCGGGAAACUGGGGAUAAUUCCGGAUAACGCACAUAUGCUGGAAUGCUUUAUGCGUCAAAUGGAUUCGUCUGCCCAAGGAUGGGUCUGCGGCCUAUCAGGUAGUAGUGGGUGUAAUGUACCUACUAGCCGACGACGGGUACGGGUUGUGAGAGCAAGAGCCCGGAGAUGGAUUCUGAGACAUGAAUCCAGGCCCUACGGGGCGCAGCAGGCGCGAAAACUUUACAAUGCGGGAAACCGUGAUAAGGGGACACCGAGUGCCAGCAUCAUAUGCUGGCUGUCCGGGUGUGUAAAAUACACCUGUUAGCAAGGGCCGGGCAAGACCGGUGCCAGCCGCCGCGGUAACACCGGCGGCCCGAGUGGUGAUCGUGAUUAUUGGGUCUAAAGGGUCCGUAGCCGGUUUGGUCAGUCCUCCGGGAAAUCUGACGGCUUAACCGUUAGGCUUUCGGAGGAUACUGCCAGGCUUGGAACCGGGAGAGGUAAGAGGUACUACAGGGGUAGGAGUGAAAUCUUGUAAUCCCUGUGGGACCACCUGUGGCGAAG
rnacentral:rRNA from 1 species